CCUACGGGGGGCUGCAGUGGGGAAUCUUGCACAAUGGGCGGAAGCCUGAUGCAGCGACGCCGCGUGAGGGACGAAGGUCUUCGGAUCGUAAACCUCUGUCCAAAGGGACGAAGGAGUGACGGUACCUUUGGAGGAAGCCCCGGCCAACUACGUGCCAGCAGCCGCGGUAAGACGUAGGGGGCGAGCGUUGUCCGGAAUCAUUGGGCGUAAAGGGCGCGUAGGCGGUGACGUAAGUCAGGCGUGAAAGGCAUCGGCUCAACCGACGCACAUAGCCUGAUACUACGUUGCUAGAGUGCAGGAGAGGAGAGUGGAAUUCCAGGUGUAGCGGUGAAAUGCGUAGAUAUCUGGAAGAACACCAGUGGCGAAGGCGGCUCUCUGGACUGUAACUGACGCUGAGGCGCGAAAGCUGGGGGAGCAAACAGGAUUAGAUACCCCGGUAGUC
rnacentral:rRNA from 1 species